rnacentral:rRNA from 1 species
GAUGAACGCUGGCGGCGUGCCUAAUACAUGCAAGUCGAGCGAACGGACGAUAAGCUUGCUUCUCUGAUGUUAGCGGCGGACGGGUGAGUAACACGUGGAUAACCUACCUAUAAGACUGGGAUAACUUCGGGAAACCGGAGCUAAUACCGGAUGAUAUUUUGAACCGCAUGGUUCAAAAGUGAAAGACGGUCUUGCUGUCACUUAUAGAUGGAUCCGCGCUGGAUUAGCUAGUUGGUAAGGUAACGGCUUACCAAGGCAACGAUGCGUAGCCGACCUGAGAGGAUGAUCGGCCACACUGGAACUGAGACACGGUCCAGACUCCUACGGGAGGCAGCAGUGGGGAAUAUUGCACAAAGGGCGAAAGCCUGACGGAGCAACGCCGCGUGAGUGAUGAAGGUCUUCGGAUCGUAAAGCCCUGUUAUUAGGGAAGAACAGAUGUGUAAGAAACUGUGCACAUCUUGACGGUACCUAAUCAGAAAGCCACGGCUAACUACGUG